rnacentral:rRNA from 1 species
GAUGAACGCUGGCGGCGUGCUUAAUACAUGCAAGUCGAACGGAGGUAGUAGAAAUACUAUCUUAGUGGCGAACGGGUGAGUAACGCGUUGGUGACCUGCCCCAAAGACGUGGGAGUAACAGCUCGAAAGGACUGCUAAUACCGCAUGAGGUCAUUGAGGUUAGAGGCUUGAUGACGAAAGGAGCGAUCCGUUUUGGGAGGGGCCUGCGUCCCAUCAGCUAGUUGGUAGGGUAAAAGCCUACCAAGGCGACGACGGGUAGGGGCCGUGAGAGGGUGAUCCCCCACACUGGCACUGAAACACGGGCCAGACACCUACGGGUGGCAGCAGUAGGGAAUAUUGCACAAUGGGCGAAAGCCUGAUGCAGCAACGCCGCGUGCACGAUGAAGGCCUUCGGUCGUAAAGUGCUUUUGUAGGAGACGAGGAAGGACGGUAUCCUCAGAAUAAGGAUCGGCUAACUACGUG